UCCGGAGAGGGAGCCUGAGAAACGGCUACCACAUCUAAGGAAGGCAGCAGGCGCGUAAAUUACCCACUCCCAGUUCGGGGAGGUAGUGACGAAAAAUAACAAUACAGGACUCAUAUCCGAGGCCCUGUAAUUGGAAUGAGUACACUUUAAAUCCUUUAACAAGGACCAAUUGGAGGGCAAGUCUGGUGCCAGCAGCCGCGGUAAUUCCAGCUCCAAUAGCGUAUAUUAAAGUUGUUGCGGUUAAAACGUUCGUAGUUGAAUUUGUGCUUCAUACGGGUAGUACAACUACAAUUGUGGAUUGUACAUUACCUUAUGUAUGCAAGCGUAUUAUCGGUGGAGUUCUAAUAUAUAAUAGUACUUGUAUUAUUAUAUAUACCUCCUAUUUAAACCUACUUCAAUGCUCUUCAUCGAGUGCUGUUGUGGGCCGAUACAAUUACUUUGAACAAAUUAGAGUGCUUAAAGCAGGCUCCAAAUGCCUGAAUAUUUUGUGCAUGGAAUAAUGAAAUAAGACUUCUGAUCUACUUUCAUUGGUUUUUAGAUCAAGAGGUAAUGAUUAAUAGAAGCAGUUUGGGGGCAUUAGUAUUACGACGCGAGAGGUGAAAUUCUUGGACCGUCGUAAGACUAACUUAAGCGAAAGCAUUUGCCAAAGAUGUUUUCAUUAAUCAAGAACGAAAGUUAGAGGUUCGA
rnacentral:rRNA from 1 species